GUUGUCACUUUGAUGGAAGAGACGGAAAAGCUUGAGAAGCUGGAGAAGGCCUCAGCAGUAUGCAAGGAGUUGCUGCAUAAUGUGGAAAGUAGACCAGAUCCACUUCUCUCUGAGUAAAGACAACCGGCCCUAUAAAUCCAUCAUGGGACAGAUGGUUUGAAGGACCACAAGACUCGAGGGGUUGCAGGUGCUGGAUACUGUAAUGAUUGCUGAUUUCAAAAGUUUCCCUUCUCAUUUGUCUGCAGAGGAUUCAACUUGUCACAGAAUUUUAGAUAGAUACUUUUCUCGUCCGGCAAAAAAUUAUGAAAAAUACUUCAUUGUGCAGAUGAUAACAAUUCUAUAGCGGCAUUUGGAUCAUUAACAAAUGUUUUGAAUGAAAUGCUUCAUUGUGCAGAGUA